rnacentral:rRNA from 1 species
GGGCUGCAGUGAGGAAUAUUGCGCAAUGGGCGAAAGCCUGACGCAGCGACGCCGCGUGGGUGAUGAAGGUCUUCGGAUCGUAAAGCCCUUUUAGAGAGGAAGAUAAUGACGGUACUCUCAGAAUAAGCCUUGGCUAACUACGUGCCAGCAGCCGCGGUAAUACGUAUAAGGCGAGCGUUAUUCGGAUUUACUGGGCGUAAAGGGUGUCUAGGCGGGAUAAUAAGUCAAAUGUGAAAUUCCAGGGCUUAACCCUGAAACUGCGUUUGAUACUGUUAUUCUUGAGUACAUGAGGGGAGAACGGAAUUCCCGGUGUAGCGGUGAAAUGUGUAGAUAUCGGGAAGAACACCAGUGGCGAAGGCGGUUCUCUGGCAUGAUACUGACGCUAAAGCACGAAGGCGUGGGGAGCAAACAGGAUUAGAUACCCGUGUAGUC